rnacentral:lncRNA from 1 species
UUAGGACUCACUCAGAUCUGGCCAUGCUAACAGUAUGUCAAAUGUGGAGUCCCAGGAGGUGGCUGUUGAAGUGAGGGAAUGGACGUGAUCCCCACACUGCCCUGUCAGGGGACACCCUGUGUCUGCUGUGCUACCCAGGGUCAUUGGGCAGCAAACCAAGCUGAGGUCCACCCCUGCUUAACUGUUGUCACUUAAGGGUCUGAGGUCCACCUACUGCAUAACUGUCACUCAAGCGUCUGAGUCCACCCACUGAGCAACUGUCACUCAAGCGUUUGAGGUCCACCCACUGAGCAACUGUCACUCAAGCAUCUGAAGCCCAUCCCUCUGCAUCACUGUCACUCAAGCUUCUGAGGUCCACCCACUGAGUAACUGUCAAUCAAGUGUCUGAAGCCCACCCCUCUGCAUCACUGUCACUCAAGGGUCUUCCUCCAGAUAUAGCGUGGACCACUCCUUUCGCUGCCUCACUUUUAUUAGUCCCUUCCUCUUCUCCACAAUGAGAUGGGCCUUUGUCUGUUUUUUUCUUCUUCAG